rnacentral:tRNA from 1 species
GAAUAGCUCAGUUGGUAGAGCGCAACCUUGCCAAGGUUGAGGUCGCGAGUUCGAGUCUCGUUUC